rnacentral:rRNA from 1 species
AGGAUGAACGCUGGCGGUCUGCUUAACACAUGCAAGUCGAACGGAGUACCUCGGUACUUAGUGGCGGACGGGUGAGUAACGCGUGAGAAUCUGCCCUUAGGUCGGGGACAACCAUUGGAAACGAUGGCUAAAUACCGGAUAAGCCGAGAGGUAAAAGAUUAAUUGCCUAGGGAAGAGCUCGCGUCUGAUUAGCUAGUUGGUGAGGUAAAGGCUCACCAAGGCAUCGAUCAGUAGCUGGUCUGAGAGGAUGAUCAGCCACACUGGGACUGAGACACGGCCCAGACUCCUACGGGAGGCAGCAGUGGGGAAUUUUCCGCAAUGGGCGAAAGCCUGACGGAGCAAGACCGCGUGAGGGAGGAAGGCUCUUGGGUUGUAAACCUUCUUUUCUUGGGGAAGAACAAAAGUGACGGUACCCAAGGAAUCAGCAUCGGCUAACUCCGUGCCAGCAGCCGC